GAUGAACGCUAGCGGGAGGCCUAACACAUGCAAGCCGAGCGGUAGAGUUUCUUCGGUAACUUGAGAGCGGCGCACGGGUGCGUAACACGUGUGCAACCUACCUUUAUCUGGGGGAUAGCCUUUCGAAAGGAAGAUUAAUACCCCAUAAUAUAAUGAUUGGCAUCAAUUAUUAUUGAAAACUCCGGUGGAUAGAGAUGGGCACGCGCAAGAUUAGAUAGUUGGUGAGGUAACGGCUCACCAAGUCAAUGAUCUUUAGGGGUCCUGAGAGGGAGAUCCCCCACACUGGUACUGAGACACGGACCAGACUCCUACGGGAGGCAGCAGUGAGGAAUAUUGGACAAUGGGUGAGAGCCUGAUCCAGCCAUCCCGCGUGAAGGAUGACGGUCCUAUGGAUUGUAAACUUCUUUUGUACAGGGAUAAACCUACCCUCGUGAGGGUAGCUGAAGGUACUGUACGAAUAAGCACCGGCUAACUCCGUG
rnacentral:rRNA from 1 species